CUUCUUCAACACUAGGGAAAAGAGAAAUUUGCAAGACGUAAAUGGUGUUUUUGUAUACAAUGUUGUUGAAAGGGAGUAUCUAGACAGGCCAACUGCAAGGCUUAUAAAGGAUUUUGAUUGCAUAGAGGAAUCUUUCAUGAAAGACAUUGGCAGUCAGUAUGGCAUUUUGUCUGGGUCUCGGGAGAAUUCCCUUUACAAUGCUCUUUGGGUGGCACAAGCACUUUUGCGUAAAGGAUCCUCAAGAACUGCUCGUAAAAGGAUACUUUUGUUUACAAAUGAAGAUGACCCUUUUGGAAGUAUCAAGGGUGCAGCAAAAGCAGAUAUGACGAGAACCACACUGCAGCGAGCUAAAGAUGCACAAGAUCUUGGGAUUUCAAUUGAACUUCUCCCCUUAGGUCGGCCUGAUGAGGAGUUCAAUGUUUCACUCUUUUAUGCUCAAUUGAUUGGAUUGGAAGAUGAUGAUGCUGCUCAAUUUAUGCCCUCUGCAGGACAAAAAUUGGAAGAUAUGAAAGAUCAACUGAGAAAACAAAUGUUCGCAAAGCGCAUAGUAAGAAGAAUCACUUUGUUAAUUGCAAAUGGUUUGUCAAUUGAAUUGAAUAUGUAUGCUUUGAUACGCCCAACUACACCAGGGGCAAUUAUGUGGCUUGAUUCUGUUACCAAUCGUCCUCUAAAGACGGAACGAUCUUUCAUUUGUGCGGAUACGGGUGCAUUGAUGCAUGAACCAACAAAGCUCUCUCAAUCUUAUAAAAAUGAGAAUAUUAUCUUCUCUGUGGAGGAAUUAUCAGAGAUAAAAAGAGUUUCAACUGGACAUCUUCGUCUUCUUGGAUUCAAGCCAUUAAGUUGCUUGAAAGAUUAUCACAACCUGAGGCCCUCAACAUUUGUUUUUCCUAGUGACAAGGAAGUGGUUGGUAGCACUCGCAUUUUCAUUGCUUUGCAUAGAUCCAUGUUGCGGCUUAAUCGUUUUGCUG
rnacentral:misc_RNA from 1 species